AGGUGUCAUACUCACAAGAUCGCGAUGAAGCUUGUUCGGGGUGGAUUUGCUAAACAUUUACCGGAAUCGCUGUUUACGCGCCCUGUCAGUUGGGCUGUAGGCAGUUAAAUAUAAUAGACUGAACUAAGCAUGUAGAGCCUUUGGCAGCGGACUGACGGACGCGGGUUCAAUUCCCG
rnacentral:sRNA from 1 species